rnacentral:lncRNA from 1 species
GGCUGACUCACCCGAUCUUUGCACUCCUCCCGGUCGUUUACACGCCGGCCGCGAUAGCUCCGCCUCCUUUUAUGACGCGGCGCUCAGUAGCCGACGUCAUGACGGCAAUCACGUUCCGACCCGUCAAUCACGGCAACCAAGUGCCGAACAACCAAUCAGGACCCGUUGGGGGCGGAGCCAACAGUUAAAGAGCCAAGGUAUAAAAAAGGGUUCUGUGGAAUGAUUCAUUGCCCUGUCGUGGUUCUAGCUAGUCUGGUCACUCAGUGCAAUUACCUCUAUUGUCUUUUGGUUCCUGACUCGGCUUGUAUUUUGACCCUGCUUUCCUCUCUUGUCCUUUUGACUCGGCUUGUCUCUCGCUUACCUGAUCUCUCGUUCCCUCGACCUCGGCUUGUCUCUGACUAUUCUUUUGCUUUCUCCUUACGUUAGUCCGGCCAUUCUAAGGUCCGGUAUACGUACCUAUCCCCUGUUUGUAUUCUGCGUGUUGGAUCCCUGUCACGAUCCUGACAUUACGACAGGGCCAAUGGAUCCUGCAGGUACAAACUCUCAGGUCGGUUCUCCUGACUCUAGAUUUGAGGCCAUGGAUCAUAGAAUGGACCAGAUGGCUCUAGCUCUGCAAGCAUUGCUAUCUCGUCCUAGUAGUCACUCAGAGGAGAUGCGUACCCCAUCUAUCUCUCCUAUAAGUACAGGCCUAGAGGUAGCCACAGUGGCUACUUCUUCCCGUGUUACGUCCCCGUCACGCUAUGGCGGCGCUCCUGACACUUGUCGAGGUUUUUUAAACCAGAUUGGUAUUCAUUUUGAAUUACAACCCCACGCCUACCCUACUGACAGGGCAAAGGUUGGAUUUAUAAUUACCUUGCUCAUUGACAAGGCACUUAGAUGGGCUAACCCCCUGUGGGAAAAUGAUAACCCGUUAGUUUAUAAUUAUAAUGCUUUUGUCGCUGCGUUUAGGAGAGCUUUUGACCCUCCAGGAAGAAAGGCCAAUGCAGCUAGACUACUGUUACGUCUUAGACAGUAUAACCGAACCCUAGUGGAUUAUGCCUUGGAGUUCAGAUCCUUGGCAGCAGAGGUCAAGUGGGAUGAACAGGCUUAUAUGGACGUAUUUAUGAACGGGUUAUCUGAUGAGAUUUUAGAUGAAGUGGCCACAAGAGAUCUUCCUGAAAAUUUGGAGGAUCUGAUUUCAUUUAUUUCCCGAAUAGAUGAACGUAUGAGACAGAGGCAGAAUAUUCGGGAUAGAACCCGCAGAUCCUCCAUAAGACUAGCUCCCUCAUUUCAGACUUCUGAUUCUACUACUUUAGCUCUUCCAGAACCUAUGCAAAUAGGUCAUACUCGACUCUCAGAGGAGGAAAGACAGUACAGGAGAAGGGAGGGUCUUUGUAUGUAUUGCGGAAUUAGAGGUCACCUACGCCUAAAUUGCCCUAACCGGCCGGGAAACGCUCGCACCUAGGUUUCUCAAGAGGACAGGCCUUGGGUGUUUCUAUCUUGUCCUCUAUUUAUGAUUAUAAAGAUCAUAGGCUUCUGAUACCUGUUUCUUUAGCUUGGGAAAAGGGAGUACUUAAUGCUAUGGCUUUGAUAGAUUCCGGAGCAGCUGAAAGCUUUAUUGACCAAGCCUUUGUCACUAACCAUUCUAUCCCAUCUCAGCUAAGGGAUACACCCUUGGCCGUUGAGGCCAUAGAUGGUAGACCAUUAUCUGAACCUGUGAUUUUUCGUGAAACCAUACCAAUUAAGUUAACCACUGGUAUCCUUCACGAGGAAAGAAUAUCCCUCAUGCUGAUCUCAUCUCCUUCAGUUCCUAUAGUCUUGGGGUAUCCCUGGCUUAAGAAGCAUAACCCUAUCAUUGACUGGGAACUGGGUGAGAUAGUCUCCUGGGGUCAGGGUUGCCAGAAAGGAUGUGUGCAGAAAGUCUCACCAAUUUGCAGGGUUGACGCCCCGGUUAACUCUUCCCAACCUACAGAUUUACAGAUACCAUCACAGUACCAGGAUUUAAAGGCAGUCUUUGACAAAAAGAGGGCUGAUACUUUACCUCCACAUAGGUCUUUCGACUGUAAAAUUAGACUCCUACCUGGUACUAUGCCUCCGAGGGGUACGGUAUAUCCUUUAUCCACUAAGGAAAACUUAGUCCUAGAGGAGUACAUACGUGAAAACCUAGACAAAGGUUUUAUUAGGAGAUCAUCUUCUCCGGCCGGGGCCGGUUUCUUUUUUGUAGAUAAAAAAGACGGCACUCUACGGCCUUGCAUUGAUUAUCGGGGCUUGAAUAAGAUAACUGUUAGAAAUGCUUAUCCUAUUCCUUUAAUUACUGAGCUCUUUGAUCGACUGAAAGGCUCCAAGAUUUUUACCAAGUUAGAUUUGAGGGGAGCUUAUAACUUGGUGAGAAUUCAGCAGGGAGACGAAUGGAAAACAGCUUUCAAUACCCGUUAUGGCCAUUAUGAAUACACGGUAAUGCCCUUCGGGCUUUGCAAUGCACCUGCAGUAUUCCAGGACCUUAUUAAUGAGGUUCUUAGGGAAUUUCAGCAUGAAUGCGUUAUAGUAUAUUUGGAUGAUAUACUAAUACACUCUAGAGAGAUUGAGACUCACCACAGACAAGUCAGAAGGGUACUGCGCAAACUGUUACAACAUGGAUUGUACUGCAAAUUGGAAAAGUGUAGCUUCGACCAAUCUCAGAUAAACUUUCUUGGCUACGUUAUUUCUGGAGACGGAUUUAGGAUGGACCCCAUUAAACUCCAAUCGAUUUUAGAUUGGCCAUUGCCCAGGGGACUCAAGGCCAUUCAGAGAUUUAUCGGAUUUUCCAAUUAUUAUAGGCGCUUCAUUAAAGGUUACUCUUCUAUUAUUGCUCCUAUUACUAAUAUGACUAGACAGGGGCUGAUACCAAGACUUGGUCCACAGAGGCUCUCUCUGCUUUCAAAACUCUCAAGGAACAUUUUGCCUCAGCACCGAUAUUAGUUCAUCCUGACACAUCUUUGCCUUUUUUACUCGAGGUUGACGCCUCGGAGACAGGUAUAGGCGCUAUCUUGUCCCAAAGGCUAGGUUUGGAUAAACCGUUACAUCCUUGUGGUUUUUUUUCCAAGAAAUUAUCUGGGCCUGAAAGUAGAUAUGACAUUGGUGAUAGGGAACUGUUAGCGGUCAUUAUGGCUUUAAAGGAAUGGAGACAUUUGUUGGAGGGGACAUUAUACCCGGUUACUAUUUUGACUGAUCACAAGAAUUUGUCCUACAUAGGGGAGGCCAAGCGCUUGUCCGCCAGGCAAGCUCGUUGGUCCUUGUUUCUGACACAUUUCAAUUACGUGCUCACUUAUAGACCUGGUUCUAAGAACUCUAAGGCAGAUGCAUUGUCCCGUCAACAUGAACCUUCUACGGUGUCUGAAGUAGCUUUGUCUUCUAUCGUUCCCAAGUGUAAUAUUAUUGCCAACACAUGUGUCAGGAUACACUCGCCGUUGCUUGCUGAGAUCAAGAAAGUACAACAUCUAGCUCCCAAACCUGUUCCUGGGGAUCGAUACUUCGUUCCUCCUGAGCUCCAAGUGGAACUGCUGCAUUGCUUUCAUGACAGUAAAAUUGCUGGGCACCCCGGCAUACGCAAAACGUGUUCCCUGAUUUCUAAAGAUUUCUGGUGGCCUUCCCUUCGUAAGGAUAUAAGGGAUUUCGUCAGGGCAUGUGCUGUCUGUAUGAAGACUAAGCAACCUCACGCGCUCCCUUGUGGACUUUUGCAUCCCUUAGAAAUUCCCGAGAGACCAUGGUCGUGUUUGGCUAUGGAUUUCAUUGUCGAUUUGCCUGUUUCUAAAAAACAUACUGUUAUUCUCACGGUGAUUGACAGGUUUACUAAAAUGGCUCAUUUCGUGCCCUUGCCUAAACUGCCCUCGUCUCCCGAAUUAGCUGAGAUAUUCGCGAGGGAGAUUUUUCGUCUACAUGGUAUUCCCUCUGAAAUUGUUUCUGAUAGAGGUUCCCAAUUUGUUUCCCGCUUUUGGAAGUCUUUCUGUUCUCACUUAGGCAUCAAGUUGAACUUCUCCUCUGCCUAUCAUCCCCAGUCCAACGGAGCUGCCGAACGCACCAACAAAAAGAUUGAACAAUAUUUGCGUUGUUUUGUUUCUGAACACCAGGACGAUUGGGUUGGUCUGAUUCCUUGGGCAGAGUUUGCACACAACAAUCUCGUUUGUGAUUCUACUCGUUCUAGCCCCUUUUUCUUGAAUUAUGGCUUUCAUCCUUCCAUUCUUCCGUCGGUUUCCCCUUCCCAAGGGGUUCCGUCGGUUGAUGUUCAUGUCGCCAAUCUGAGAAAGUUGUGGGAUCAGACUCGACGAAUUCUUCUUCAGAAUUCCAUGGUGUUCAAACGACACGCUGACAAACGGAGACGGGUGGCUCCGGUUUUUGCCCCGGGUGAUAGGGUGUGGUUGAGUACCAGAAACAUCCGCUUGAAGGUUCCUUCCAUGAAAUUUGCCCCUCGUUACAUAGGCCCUUACAAGGUUCUGUGUCGGAUUAACCCGGUUGCAUAUCGUCUUGCCCUUCCGCCUGCCCUGCGCAUCCCUAACUCUUUUCAUGUUUCUUUAUUGAAGCCUUUGGUUUGCAACAGAUUUUCCUCCCCUGAGUCCUCCCCUCUCGCUGUCCAGGUUGAGGGUCAGGAGGAAUAUGAAAUCAAAUCCAUUCUCGAUUCUCGUAUUUCUCGGGGGAAGUUGCAAUAUCUUGUUGACUGGAAGGGGUAUGGGCCUGAAGAAAGGUCUUGGGUGGUCCAUGAAAAUGUGCAUGCCCCUCGUCUCCUCCGGGCAUUUCAUGCUCGUUUUCCGUCCGCCCCGGUUCCUUCCGCCCGGUGGGCGUUUCUGAGAGGGGGGGUACUGUCAGGGUACCUUUGGUGUCUACCUCGGAGGAGGUUAGACACCUAGACGUCCAUCCUCCCAGGGGGGCUGACUCACCCGAUCCUUGCACUCCUCCCGGUCGUUUACACGCCGGCCGCGAUAGCUCCGCCUCCUUUUAUGACGCGGCGCUCAGUAGCCGACGUCAUGACGGCAAUCACGUUCCGACCCGUCAAUCACGGCAACCAAGUGCCGAACAACCAAUCAGGACCCGUUGGGGGCGGAGCCAACAGUUAAAGAGCCAAGGUAUAAAAAAGGGUUCUGUGGAAUGAUUC